AAGUCGUAACAAGGUUUCCGUAGGUGAACCUGCGGAAGGAUCAUUACCUAUAUAUCGGGGUCAGAACCCAAUGGCAUAAGAUAAAAACCUUAACUCAUGCUUAUUGCCCUGACCUGUUAGCAUAUACCCAUGUCUUUUGCGUACAUUUGUUUCCUUGGUGGGCUUGCCUGCCAUUAGGACACUAUAAACCCUUCUGUAAUUGCAGUCAGCAUCAGGUACCAACCACAUAAUAAUCAAAACUUUCAACAACGGAUCUCUUGGUUCUG
rnacentral:misc_RNA from 1 species